rnacentral:rRNA from 1 species
UGGGUAACCUGCCUCAAAGAGGGGAAUAGCCUCCCGAAAGGGAGAUUAAUACCGCAUAAUAUGUUUAAGUCGCAUGACUUUAACAUCAAAGGAUUUUCUUUUAAGAAAUUCCACUUUGA